UGGGGGUGGGGGAAUAAUGGAAAAUUUUAUAAGAUUUUUCGUAAAAUACAUUGAAUAAUUGAGGACUGGUAUCAAUGGAGUAAGGUUAUGCCAAAUGAAGAGGGAGAAUAGCAUGUGAUGUGUAUCUUUGAUCUCUAUCUUUAUCAACCCAUUUAGGGUAACGCGAUAGAGAUAUAAGAAAACUAUGUACACAUUACAUAUUCAUAUUUAUCUGAGAAUAAAUGCUACACCCACUUGCAAGAUGCUUUAAUUUCUCUUUUACUUUCUUUAAUUAUCUCGUAUUUAGGAUAG
rnacentral:lncRNA from 1 species